GACGAACGCUGGCGGCGUGCUUAACACAUGCAAGUCGAACGAAGAGCGAUGGAAGCUUGCUUCUAUCAAUCUUAGUGGCGAACGGGUGAGUAACGCGUAAUCAACCUGCCCUUCAGAGGGGGACAACAGUUGGAAACGACUGCUAAUACCGCAUACGAUCUAAACUCGGCAUCGAGGAUAGAUGAAAGGUGGCCUCUACAUGUAAGCUAUCACUGAAGGAGGGGAUUGCGUCUGAUUAGCUAGUUGGCGGGGUAACGGCCCACCAAGGCGAUGAUCAGUAGCCGGUCUGAGAGGAUGAACGGCCACAUUGGGACUGAGACACGGCCCAGACUCCUACGGGAGGCAGCAGUGGGGAAUCUUCCGCAAUGGACGAAAGUCUGACGGAGCAACGCCGCGUGAGUGAUGACGGCCUUCGGGUUGUAAAGCUCUGUUAAUCGGGACGAAAGGCCUUCUUGCGAAUAGUGAGAAGGAUUGACGGUACCGGAAUAGAAAGCCACGGCUAACUACGUG
rnacentral:rRNA from 1 species